rnacentral:rRNA from 1 species
CAGUCGCCGCGGUAAUACAGAGGGUGCGAGCGUUAAUCGGAUUUACUGGGCGUAAAGCGUGCGUAGGCGGCUUUUUAAGUCGGAUGUGAAAUCCCUGAGCAUAACUUAGGAAUUGCAUUCGAUACUGGGAAGCUAGAGUAUGGGAGAGGAUGGUAGAAUUCCAGGUGUAGCGGUGAAAUGCGUAGAGAUCUGGAGUAAUACCGAUGGCGAAGGCAGCCAUCUGGCCUAAUACUGACGCUGAGGUACGAAAGCAUGGGGAGCAAACAGGAUUAGAUACCCCAGUAGUCCCUGUCUCUUAUAC